rnacentral:rRNA from 1 species
GACGAACGCUGGCGGCGUGCCUAAUACAUGCAAGUUGAGCGCUGAAGGUUGGUACUUGUCCCAACUGGAUGAGCAGCGAGCGGGUGAGUAACGCGUGGGGAAUCUGCCUUUGAGCGGGGGACAACAUUUGGAAACGAAUGCUAAUACCGCAUAAAAACUUUAAACACAAGUUUUAAGUUUGAAAGAUGCAAUUGCAUCACUCAAAGAUGAUCCCGCGUUGUAUUAGCUAGUUGGUGAGGUAAAGGCUCACCAAGGCGAUGAUACAUAGCCGACCUGAGAGGGUGAUCGGCCACAUUGGGACUGAGACACGGCCCAAACUCCUACGGGAGGCAGCAGUAGGGAAUCUUCGGCAAUGGACGAAAGUCUGACCGAGCAACGCCGCGGGAGUGAAGAAGGGUGUCGGAUCGUAAAACUCUGUUGGUAGAGAAGAACGUUGGUGAGAGUGGAAAGCUCAUCAAGUGACGGUAACUACCCAGAAAGGGACGGCUAACUACGUG